GACGGAGGGUGCGAGCGUUGUCCGGAAUUACUGGGCGUAAAGAGCUCGUAGGUGGUUUGUCGCGUUGUCCGUGAAAACUCACAGCUCAACUGUGGGCGUGCGGGCGAUACGGGCAGACUGGAGUACUGCAGGGGAGACUGGAAUUCCUGGUGUAGCGGUGGAAUGCGCAGAUAUCAGGAGGAACACCGGUGGCGAAGGCGGGUCUCUGGGCAGUAACUGACGCUGAGGAGCGAAAGCGUGGGGAGCGAACAGG
rnacentral:rRNA from 1 species